AGCAGCCGCGGUAAUUCCAGCUCCAAUAGCGUAUAUUAAAGUUGUUGCAGUUAAAAAGCUCGUAGUUGAAUUUCGGGAUUGGCGCAUCGGUCGUGCCUCACGGGGUAUGAACUGGUGCAGUCAAUUUCUCACCUUCUGGAGAACCGCGAUGUCCUUAAUUGGAUGCCGCGGGGAACCAGGACCUUUACUUUGAAAAAUUAGAGUGUUUAAAGCAGGCAUUUUUGCUUGAAUACAUUAGCAUGGAAUAAUAAAAUAGGACGGCAUGGUUCUAUUUUGUGGUUUCUAGGACCACCGUAAUGAUUAAUAGGGAUAGUUGGGGGCAUUAGUAUUCAAUUGUCAGAGGUAAAAUUCUUGGAUUUAUUGAAGACUA
rnacentral:rRNA from 1 species